rnacentral:ncRNA from 1 species
GAGAGCUGUAUGAUGGGAAACUAUCACGUACAGUUCGGAGGACAGUUUUACUGAUCCUAC